GACGAACGCUGGCGGCGUGCCUAAUACAUGCAAGUAGAACGCACAGUUUAUACCGUAGCUUGCUACACCAUAGACUGUGAGUUGCGAACGGGUGAGUAACGCGUAGGUAACCUGCCUGGUAGCGGGGGAUAACUAUUGGAAACGAUAGCUAAUACCGCAUAAUAUUAAUUAUUGCAUGAUAAUUAAUUGAAAGGUGCAAUUGCACCACUACCAGAUGGACCUGCGUUGUAUUAGCUAGUAGGUGAGGUAACGGCUCACCUAGGCGACGAUACAUAGCCGACCUGGGAGGGUGAUCGGCCACACUGGGACUGAGACACAGCCCAGACUCCUACGGGAGGCAGCAGUAGGGAAUCUUCGGCAAUGGACGAAAGUCUGACCGAGCAACGCCGCGUGAGUGAAGAAGGUUUUCGGAUCGUAAAGCUCUGUUGUAAGAGAAGAACGGGUGUGAGAGUGGAAAGUUCACACUGUGACGGUAUCUUACCAGAAAGGGACGGCUAACUACGUG
rnacentral:rRNA from 1 species